rnacentral:tRNA from 1 species
GGUCCUUUGGCAGAGAUGGUAAUGCACUCGGUUGAAGCCCGAGAUAUCUCAGUUCGAUUCUGAGGGGGACCACAA